AGACGCCCUUCCGUCUGGAGCUCCCUGGAGCUCCCUGGAGCUGCGCCUCGUGGGCUGUGAUUUACACAGGGGCUGAGGCUUGGGCCUGACUUGGUUCCAGAUCAUAGGGACUGUGACAAGCCUGAAGACCCUUCUCCCUAUCCCAGGAGGAGCCCAGGAACGCAAGCGAGAGCCUCUGCAAGUCACCCCAGCUGCCGCGUUUCCACCCAGGAGGAAGACGCACGUGGGGCGGCACGAGAGAUAGACGGAGGAUUGAAAGAAGCAGCCAGUGAGCCAGAUAAGAUGACCCAGGACACACGAUGCUGACGGGUCAAGGAAGGUCAGUCCUGGGAGCUGACCACAGAUUGGACUGACCCAGAAGACAGUGCCAGCUCCCUGAGGAGGGGCAGCUGGGUGGA